CGGCCGCCGGUGCCCCCUCCCCGGCCCGCCCGCGCCGGCUGCCCACACUUACAGGCUUGCUGAGGGGAAGGAGCCCGGCUGCCAAGGGAAACUGCCUUUGCAGCACGCCUGGUGUUGAAAGCUCUUGAGCUGUCCCUCGCCCAGCGCCCCACGUCUUGUCAGAGGUUUCCGCUCCUUAUCAUGCAAAAACUGGCCUUCGCAUUGCUCUUCUGUGGCCGAGUAUGCCAAAGCCAAUGAUGAGGGAAAGGUGAGGACGCCGAUUUCUUAAAACCUUUUUGUUUUCCCUCCAGUUUUCAGUGUGAACAAAGUGGACCGCAAGCUCCAGACUUGAGAGUAGCUGCUGGUUUAAUAACCCGCUCCCAGCCCCAAUUCCUGUUUAGACUGGUGACUAAAUUGUUGGUCAGGCUACUCGGUAUGCAUUGGAGAGCAUUAGUUAAAGGUUUUCUGCUACACUCUCUUUGAAUUUACAAUUAAGUUUGAAAUGAGAGCCUAAUGAAAAGGCUGACAAAAUGCAUGCUUUUAUAUUCUACCCAGUUUAUAAUCCCUAUUCCCACCUCUGGACCAUCAUUUGAUGUAAUCUGAGCUGCAGAAGGAUCUUGUACUGGAGCUCAAGUGCUUUAUUUAAAAUAAUAAAAAAGGAAUCUGCUGUCUGGCUGGUUAGACAGGCCAGAAUGUUUUGUAUAUCUAGGCCUGUGGGGCUGCUGGGAAGCUUUUCCCCAAGCAUCGCCUUAUCCUAAGCUAAUAAAAACAAUGGUUGAAAGCAUAGAUUGUCCAGAAGAAAUGCCUGAGGAGAAAAAUUCUGCAGGAAGUGGAGUUUUCAUUAUGUACCGUGAUACCUGUCAAGGAGAUCUGUUCCCGAAAAACUUUGACUGUUACUUACUCGUGUCUAGUAUCACUGCAAAACAGCAAUACUUUCGUCACUGAAUUUCAUGGUUUUUAAGAAGUUUCAUUCUGUGCUGAAUACGUACAUGCUAAUGGUUUGAUAAAUUGUGAAUACUUCACUUUCUUUUAGGGUGAAAUAGUUUCUGUUGGACAUCUGUACUGCAAGAUGGAGUCCUUAUUGUGUGCUGCCAAAAGUCAGAAUAGUUGUAGUUAACAAAUAAGCAAAUAUUUUUCAUAACUGUAUUGAAACAGUAUUUAUAUAACCUGGGACUAUUGCACACGUUAAUUUGUUUGUUCUAGAAAGCAAAGUGUAUACUGUUUGUUCAUUUUGUGUUGAGAAUUUAUCAGCUUGUGCAAGUUAUCUGAAGUUAGACAUAGAUUAAUUAGUAGUGAGGGUUUAACUGUAAAAAUCCUCCUUUGAAUGUUUAUUUUGCAUAAGUGCAGUUGUUCAGCUAGCAACUUUCUUUGAAAUGUGUAAUGUACUUCCAUUUUACUUAAAGAUUUUGUGAAAGAAGAGUAGCUUGAGGAUUAAAAGGAUUUGGUAGGAAUGGAUAUGGAUAAUUCCUAUCUUUGUACAUUUAAAUUAGGCUGUACAAUUAUUUCCAUUUCAUGUUUCUCAUAGAUCUCUGGUUCUGCAUAAAGAGAAAAGGAAAAACAUUUGUCAGUUUGGUAACAUCUCUAGGAGGUGCUGUUACUGUUCCAAAAGGCUACUGUAACUGUAAGAUUUCCUGCAGGUUCUGACAGCUCAGCAUAAUGUCCUGGUCGCUUGAAGUGACAUCCAUGGUACAGCCAUCCGUGGUCUUCAGCUUUUGUCAAGGUAGCAAACAAACCCCUUAGGGAUCUCAGCAGAGAGCUCUCUAAUCUCUUCCUGACUUCUGGAUACUCAGGCAAAAAACCCUGUCUUCUGAAUGUGAAAUAUACUGUGACAACCCUCCAGCUUAAAUUUUAUCAGUAUAAAAGAUAUCUUUAUGGAAUGUUGUGUAUGAAAAAACAAAAUGAUAUGUUGCAUUAUAUAUUGUUAGCACACAAAAGCGUACCAAUUCAUGUCAAGAAUGCACAGCAGAUAUAUAUUUAACAUGCAUCUUUUAGUUCAUUACUUAUGGCAUGACAGAUUUUAGACGUUAUGUGAAAUCUGAUUUUAAAAUAAUGGACUGUAAAAAGAAAAUCAGGUAUCCAAAAUAUUCACUGCUAUUUCUGUUUUGUAAGCUUAAACUGGAUGAACUGAUUUUAAAAAAGAGUGUGGCUACAGGAUUUAACAAUGGAAAUUUAUGCUGAAUUGAUCGGUUGUCCCAGCCGAAAUGGAGUUUGAAGCAGAAACAUUAACAGAUCCUGCACCAGCUUAAAUAUUAAGGCAAGUCCAAUACAGCACUGAAGUAAAAAGCAUAGCAACAAAGGACAAGGUAGUUUACAGUUGACUGUAGCUUGUUUUUCCCUUUUCUGGCUAUGGAUGAAGGGUAAGUUCCUAGAAGGCACUACAACCAUGCGGUUAGGCUGCAGAGAAAAUAAAGCUCUUGUGCAGGGUGGAAUUUCUUUUUCUGCCCAUUGGGAGAAGAAAUUCUUCAUUGAAUGUGUUGGAGUCAUAUAUUGAAAGAGUAGCCUUUAGGCUGUGCUACUGUAGAGUGGUACUGCAGCUGCCCACUGAUCUGUGCAGAAGGAUCCUUUCCUUUUUGCAUGACACUUGAUUUGUCCUUUCAUUCUGGUUAGCCCUACAGCAUGGUGCACAUCUUUAAGAUUUAUCACUAUAUAGGGUUAUUAUACAUACAGCAGAAGGGUAUUUAUAUACUGUGUUCAUUUGAUGCCAUAUUUACCUAUCAAUAUAUGUUGACAUUCAUUUGCUUCAUGUAUCUAUCAUGUUUCACUGAGGAUCUUAACCUAAUGUGUAUGUACAUCACUGUAUUAAGCCAUGCAAUGUUCUUCAGACCAAGGCAAGCACCAUUUCUGUUUUACAUAGUGAUAAAUGCUGGUACCUGAAAUGUAGGAUGAUUAGGGUAGAGUCACUUCUAGAACCAGAAAGAAAUACAGGAGUUUUAAUUACCCUUGCUCAAUUUACCACAUGGCUACAGCUUGUCAGUCGCAAUAAUAUUAUGGAUUAUGUGUCAUCAACUUGUUUUUGUUCAGGUUUUCAUGCACGCCAUAUCAUGCAUCUUUAGAAAUUGUCUUUUUAUAUUGGUUCUUUUGUUUGGCACAGUGCCACCUAGCUGCACUCUUCCCUCAACAGUUCUGUAGUUGGUAUGCUGAUUGUGACCAAGAUGAAACAUUUGACAGGUAAGAUUUACUUGGGUUCACCUGAAAUAUUAUUCAGUAGUCAAGUUGCUGAUGGGAAGAAGGGACAAAAAUAGAAGAACCUUAUUACUAUCACAAUUCAUACAGUGACAGUUGACUUAUCCAUGUAAUUUUGAAGCAAAUGCUGGUAUGAACAUUAUUUUUAGUCUGAAAAUAUCUGAUAGGAAAGCUUGCAACAUUAGUGGAAAAGUCAGGAUUGCCCAGGCACGUUUUAAUAGCUAGGCAUUCAGGAGAAGAAACAAGGAAAAAAUGUAAAUACGUAGGAUGCAGAUUUACUGAAUGUUUGUUUGGAGGGAAUGAAAGCUGAGCAUUACAGCAAUUCCCUGUUUAGGAAAUAAAAUCCAUGUGUUAAAGUGAAGAUGUGGAAAUAAACUAUGUGAAGAGAACCUUCUAUUAUUUUGAGUUGAGGUGGAUGUGACAGGGAAUUACAGCCAGGCUGCAAAAGCAUUAAAUGGGUAUUUCACCAACAUAAGAAUUGAGCACUUUAAACAAUACUUUAAAUGAUGCUUUUUAACUCUUUAACAUUUACUGGUUUGUUGCCUUAUCCUUGUAGGUCUCACGUAAAGCCAAAAGAAGAAAGAAGAGAACGCGUAAGCUAGGUCUAAAGGUACAUGAAGAACGGUAAGGCAUUAGAUGAUGAAUAAUACUUUUUAUCAGAAAGACUAAUAUUUGAAAACAGACAAGAGCUCUCAUUUUGGCUCAUCAGUCUUUUUUCUCAAGCUGUAUCUAACUGCACAUUCAAAGUUUUUCUUACUUGUACAGCUACGAUACAGGUUCUUAAGAACUGUACCACAUGGGAGUGUGGCAGCAAGGCAGGUCAAAUCACCUGUAGCAUUCCUUUAGUCGGGUAUUUAUAUUGUAGUCUUAACUGUGCCUUCUGCUGAUCAAUAAAUCAUUGCAACAGGUCUCUGAACUGAUUUGUCCUGAUUUUACAUGCACAGAAAGCCACAUAGUAGGUUUGAACCCAAAUGGCAAGUGAGCUCAAUUGUUUCUCAGAAGGACUGAAAGAAGGAUGUGAAUUUUGGAAGGAUAUGUUGUGUUGGAUGAACCCUUUCACUGUUUCCUGAAUUGCGUAUUCUUGGGACUCUACUUUCUCACCUCACAAAAGUAAUCAAUAGCUACUUCUUCCAUAUAUAGCACGUGUCAGAGCUGAACAUUUAAAAAUGCAUUAUUGUGCAUUAUAGCACAGUGAUAAGUCCAGAGAGUGCUACAUUCUGUGGCGCUUGUCAGUGGGACUUUGAAGAAGGUCUCCAAAAUAUUGUUCAUUUAAUGCAACAAAGUUCAGGAGUCCUGUGGAAAGUCAAUACCUCCACAUCUGUGAGGAAGUGAACUCCAGUUCAUAGAGGGCUGCAGGUGGGUUUUUUUUCCUUAACACUUGUAAAACAUAAAACCUUUGAAUAUGUGUGCGCGUGGAGGCACAUGAUCUGUUUCUGUGUCCUCUAUGUGCUGUGGUGAUCUGCAUUCUUCUCUGGGUAAAAGACAAGAGUUGAUACAUACCACGUGCAAGCAUAGAAUAAUUUCUUAAUUUAGCAGUUUGUGUAGAAAUUCUGUCCAAUCCUUUCAUCCUUCCUUCUCUCACUGUGUCUGUGUGGCAAACACCCUGGGGUUCCUGUGGUUUUUGAAGUGUAUUUACAUGAUACUGUAUAGUGAGUGAUUGCAUUGUUUUGUAGUUGUCUGAAGGAGGUCACAAUAAUGGAUUUUUUUUUCUUUUUUUGUAGUGGUUGUAAUAGUUUCAGUCACUUUGGGAUGAGCUGCCAUGCAAAAUAAAUGUAUCUAAGAAGCACAGAAUUGUAACAAAUUGUCAAAAGGCUUUAAAUAUGGUGUAAUACCUUGUUUUCCUGUAAAUUCCUCUCUAGAAGGGGGGAGGGGUCUGUAUUUUUAUUUCUGUCUGUGUAUUUGGCCUCUGAGGUGUAAGCACAGACAGAGCAGAUUUCUUUGCAGAGAGGGAAGUCAAGAAUCUUCCGUUAGGAAGACCAAAAGAUUUCAAACAUCUCUAUCAUCUUGAUAGCAGUGCUUUUCCUGUUCCUGACUAGGACUUCGGAAAAAUCAAGCAGGAAAUACCUUAUCGGACUCCAUUUUUCUACAAGUUUCUGAAAACUAUUUGCAUCUUUCCUCGGGCAAAAUUAAUCAAUAAAGCUUUUUAGUACAUACUUAACCAGAAUA